CCUACGGGGGGCUGCAGUAGGGAAUAUUGGUCAAUGGAGGCAACUCUGAACCAGCCAUGCCGCGUGCAGGAAGAAGGCGUUAUGCGUUGUAAACUGCUUUUGAUUGGGAACAAAUAACUCUUGCGAGAGUAGCUGAGUGUACCAAUAGAAUAAGCCACGGCUAACUACGUGCCAGCAGCCGCGGUAAUACGUAGGUGGCAAGCGUUGUCCGGAUUUAUUGGGUUUAAAGGGUGCGUAGGCGGCUUAAUAAGUCAGUGGUGAAAGCCGGUAGCUUA
rnacentral:rRNA from 1 species